rnacentral:lncRNA from 1 species
GGCGGUGUUAGCUCACUUCUUAAAAGCUUUAUAUUUUAGAAGGUGGAAGACCUGGAUGCUUCAUACUUUGUAUAUAUAUGCUUCAUGUUACGAAGUUUUCGUCAGUCACAUGUCCAAUGUCCUUGACCUCAUUUUCAUGGUUCAGUGACCACUUGAAAAAAAAGUUCAAAUUUUUUGUAAUGUUGAAUUCUCUCUUAUUAUAAGUAAUAGGAUAACUAUAUUUGAUAUGUGCGUACCUUGCAAGGUCCUCGUGUCUGUCAG